rnacentral:rRNA from 1 species
ACGCUGGCGGCGUGCCUAAUACAUGCAAGUCGAACGGACGAGUAAGAGCUUGCUCUUAUGAGUUAGUGGCGCACGGGUGAGUAAUGUAUAGCUAAUCUGCCCUACACUAGAGGACAACAGUUGGAAACGACUGCUAAUACUCUAUACACCUCUCUAGCAUAAGUUAGAUAGGGAAAGUUUUUCGGUGUAGGAUGAGGCUAUAUUGUAUCAGCUAGUUGGUGAGGUAAUGGCUCACCAAGGCUAUGACGCAUAACUGGUCUGAGAGGAUGAUCAGUCACACUGGAACUGAGACACGGUCCAGACUCCUACGGGAGGCAGCUGUAGGGAAUAUUGCUCAAUGGGGGAAACCCUGAAGCAGCAACGCCGCGUGGAGGAUGACACUUUUCGGAGCGUAAACUCCUUUUGUUAGGGAAGAACAAUGACGGUACCUAACGAAUAAGCACCGGCUAACUCCGUGCCAGCAGCCGCGGUAAUACGGAGGGUGCAAGCGUUACUCGGAAUCACUGGGCGUAAAGGACGCGUAGGCGGAUUAUCAAGUCUCUUGUGAAAUCCUAUGGCUUAACCAUAGAACUGCUUGGGAAACUGAUAAUCUAGAGUGAGGGAGAGGCAGAUGGAAUUGGUGGUGUAGGGGUAAAAUCCGUAGAGAUCACCAGGAAUACCCAUUGCGAAGGCGAUCUGCUGGAACUCAACUGACGCUAAUGCGUGAAAGCGUGGGGAGCAAACAGGAUUAGAUACCCUGGUAGUCCACGCCCUAAACGAUGUAUACUAGUUGUUGCUAAGCUAGUCUUGGCAGUAAUGCACCUAACGGAUUAAGUAUACCGCCUGGGGAGUACGGUCGCAAGAUUAAAACUCAAAGGAAUAGACGGGGACCCGCACAAGCGGUGGAGCAUGUGGUUUAAUUCGAAGAUAC